CGUUAUUCUUUCUUAAGACAGCAACCUCAAGCCCAACGUCCACUGCCAAAAGCGUUCUCAACUCUCAGUUGACAGAACUAGAGAAGACCACUGAGCGGGGCUUCUAGGGAGAGGUGAGGUCUCCAAGAAAUAGGAGAGAGACAGAGUGCGAGUGGGGGAGGAGCAGUGACAGAAGGAGACGCAGAAUCCAAAGCAGGCUCCAAGCUCUGAGCUGUCGGCACAGAGCCAGAUACAGGGUUCAAGCAAGAUCAUGACCUGAGCCGAAGUCAGACGUUUAACCGACCAAGCCACCCAGGCGUCCCAAGAACUAUGUUACUUUUUAACAGAUGAUUCUAUCAAGACUGAAAGCAGUACAAAAAGUUACAGAUUUGA